UUUGCUGACGAGUGGCGGACGGGGUGAGUAAUGUCUGGGAAAACUGCCUGAUGGAGGGGGGAUAACUACUGGAAACGGUAGCUAAUACCGCAUAACGUCGCAAGACCAAAGAGGGGGACCUUCGGGCCUCUUGCCAUCGGAUGUGCCCAGAUGGGAUUAGCUAGUAGGUGGGGUAACGGCUCACCUAGGCGACGAUCCCUAGCUGGUCUGAGAGGAUGACCAGCCACACUGGAACUGAGACACGGUCCAGACUCCUACGGGAGGCAGCAGUGGGGAAUAUUGCACAAUGGGCGCAAGCCUGAUGCAGCCAUGCCGCGUGUAUGAAGAAGGCCUUCGGGUUGUAAAGUACUUUCAGCGGGGAGGAAGGGAGUAAAGUUAAUACCUUGCUC
rnacentral:rRNA from 1 species